CUGGGCAUCAGCAGAUGGCAAGAAAAGCUGCAAGAAAUGCAGACAUUGUUUUUCUCUUUCAUUCAUUCAAAAGCUGAUUAAAUUAUCUGAGCUUCUGUUUCCUUGUUAUAAAAUAGGGCGAAAAUUGUUACGUGCCGUAAAACUACUGCAUCUGGAGAUGGAGAUACAUUCCCUUAUGUGACACACCCAGCAGGGCCAGGCAUCUAGUAGGAGCCCAUGUGUCCACAGCUCACUCAGCUCACCCAAUAAACCCUGAGGGUCUGCUUCACUUUUUCCUUCCCGCACAAGCGUCACACUGACAGUCUGGCCUUUCCAAACCACCACUGGCAACUUCAACUGAACUGAUCAUAUGUCAACUAAUUCUAGGAGGCCAGUCCUGAUCCCAAGAAACGAUGACAUUGUCCACAUUGGAAAUCACAAACCUCGUCUGCCAAGUUGGACUCAUCCCACAGAUGUGAAUCUCUAGGGGCUAACAGAGGAUCAACGUGUGAACUAAAGCUGCCUUUACAAUCACCCCAAAGAGAAAACUAGGUAGCCAACUGCAUCUGAAAAACCAGCAAGUCUUCCCUAUUUGGGGAAGAGCAAAACAGAGCCAAACCUACUAUGGCCAAUGCCUGCGCCAUGUGCAGGAGGAUACCAAAGAGUGUCAAACAUGGUACCUGCCUUCAGGGGACUACCAGCAUCCCUCUGUCCCUGGCCUUCAAAUACCUGCCGUCCACCAGCGGGCUAAAUAGGAGCAGAAACUAUGCCUGAAGCGCUGGCAGCUCUGUCUCCCCCAGUUCGCACAGCAAUGGGGAGUUUCAGCAGAACCAGUCCUGGUCUCUAGCCCAGCCCAGUCCCCGCCCACGACCCCUGCAAUGCCAGAGGCAGAGGAUCCGGGGUGCUGGAAGCUGGAGGAAGAGGUGGGGGGACCGUCACUCGCUCACGCUCCAAAGACCCUGAGGAGAAUCAGUGAGUAACGAUCGGCUCCCCAGUCAGCCAGAAAAAAUAGGGCAAGCUCAGCUUGAGGAAGCAUCCAGCACAGCGCCCCCCACGUGACCAGCCAGACCUGGGGCGGCGGAGUGGACAGCUUCAUAUAAAGAACCCCGUUGCCACGUGGUGGAAACGCGAGGGGGCAGUGUUCUGGUUUCCUGGGAGGCAACGGCCAUCUUUGCAUAUUUCUGUGUUAUCACAUUGACUUGGGGAGUUCGACACCGUUUGUCAGACCGGGUAGGAAAACACAGCAGCCAGGCCUUCAAAACAGGGCGCCUUUGUGCACAGCUGACACCCUGGCCUGGAGCCCGGCUUAGCUUCGGGGGAGGAUUUAGGUCAGAAGGAAAAUGGGAGGCGGGCGGCUGCAGGCUUCAAAUCUGUUUUAGGCAAGAUUAGGGAGAUGUUUCCCCUCUUCCCACUGGCACACCUACACCCGCAGGGGCAGGGGCAGGGGCCGGCUGGUCUUACCUUCGUAAUUAUGGCUGACUUUGAGGAGCAAACAUUAGUAGGCCUCGUCAGCCCUACAGAAGAGCUAUUUGGCAAAUUCCCAUCGUGCUGGAAAUUCCCCAGGCCGUUUUGUUAGGCCAUCGCCUCUUUCCAGUCAGCUGGACUCGGAAAGUCCUCAGUUACCUCUGCGGAGCGUGCAGACCUGCGCAAAGAGGGACGUGCCGCGAGGCAAGCUUCAGCCAACAGGGGAGGUGGCCACAGAGCCGCGGGUGAUUUCCAAAGCCAACGAGCUUCAAGAGGCAGAAGGGAUGCUGUCUCGAGUCAGGGAGCGCUUGAGGGCUGUGUCUGCUUUAUAUUAAGUUCAUUUUCCACGGCUAUUCAAGAGACACUACUCAAAGGGGGUCCAUGAGAAGCAGCCCCUUCAGGACCUGUGGCCACGUUUUCCCUUUAAGCGCCCUUUCCAAAAGGCUCCUUUUCACAAGAGAUCAGCUAGCAGCUGUACCUCGAAGGCCAGUUCUUCUCUUCCACGUGCAUUUAUAGCGCUGGUAAACAGGCCCCAGUUUCCCGCGUCCUUUAUGAAAAGGGCUCACCUGCGCCGACGGGCCCAGCGGGCUGCCCCGCGACGCUGUGCUGCAGGCCUCGCCCGCCAUCUUCUGGAAGAAGGCGGUACUGCUGCCAGGGAGAAGCUUCUCCUUGGGUCCAGGCUUCCAGAACAAACUAGAAAAUCAACCAGGGAAGGGCCACAAAAACACUACUCUCGACUGCCAAGAACCGGGAAUCGCUUUCAUUUUCUCCGGCAAAGAUGCUCUUAGCGAUAUAUUUCUUUGUUGUUGUUUUUUGAUCAUUUCCUGUGUGCAUUGCUUCACUCGUGGCUCAACAAGCGUGUAGUUGAGCACCUACUGUGUGCCAGAUGCCAGGCAAGGUGCUGGGGUAGAGAUGAAGCAGACACCCACAUGCUUAAAAAAAAACCAAAGUCUUUUUCUAUGAACCUAAAACUGCUCUAAAAAAAUUCAGUUAAAAAAAAUGAAGCCCAGAGUCCGGGGGUCCAGAAAGACAUGAGCCAACAGUAACAUUUCAGCAUGACUAAUGCCACGUGGGGUGAAUUGUGUGAAUGUACCACAUGCCACAAGGCCCCCAAAGAGGAAGUCCGCUUGUGGCAGAAAGGGGAAAUGGUCCACAGAGAACAGAGAAGGUGACAUUUGACUCAGGGUGAGCAGCAAAAGGAGGGCAGAGAAGGUUCAGUUAAGUCUUGCUGGAUUGAAAACUUCCACCUGUCCUUCACUCUCCGAGUGGUCAGUGGUCAGCAAGCCUGUUAGCAGAACCCUGGUCACUGGGAACCUUGGAGGGUGCCGAGAGGCGAGGCAGAGGGGAAAGGUUAUGGGAUCUUUGAGAAGAUGACUUGGGGGGGCUGUAGGGCCCUCGGCUCUGUUCACUGCUGUGGGACAGUAAGGGUUGUGCCUAAGAGGAAGUAAAACACCAGACUUUGGAAUGAAAGAAACCUGGAUCUCAACUUUGCUACCUAACAGCUGUGUGG
ensembl:lncRNA